UUGCCUCGCCUAUAAAAGGGCCCGAGAUCAGCGUAUCUCGCAUUCUAAUUUCCACCUCUCCACUCGAAUUUCCAGUUCUCCCGCCACAUCGCCUGCUGAGUAAUUGUCCGCUCGAGUCCGGCGAAUUUCGCCUCCGCGGAGAUCACCACGAGGGUUCCAUGGCGAUGUCGUAAUGCCUAAUUGUGGUUUUCUUGGAGGUAUUUUCAUUAAUUCUGCGAGUUCGACAGGAGGCUGUUGGAGAGUUCUGUUCCUUGAACCAUUGCAAGUACAAUUCAUAAUGUGUUAGAUGGUUUCAUUGCAAGUGGUUCACCUUGUCUCAUUUUCAAUAUGUCAACGAAGUGUGAUUUUUGGUGAAGUCUGGUACUCCAAGUUCCAAGAGAAUUGAAUCAGACUGAAAUUUGACAGUCAAACAUAUAUCCGGGUGGCCUCUGAUGCUCUGAACCUUUUUGGGGAAGUCCAACUGGAGCUCUCCUGCAGAGCGAGGUCACCUAAAGGUAUUUCUGAGGUGACAGGGGGUCAUAUUUCUCCUGAGGAUGGCGACCCUCAACUCAUAGAGGGAGGAUGAUUGAUUUGGAGACCUUUUACGCCUUCUAUGCGCCUCCUCUAAGGGAUCUAGUACUUGGAUGAAUGGAAGCAAUGGUAAGUAUCACGCCUCGUCUAAGGGGUCUGGUACUUGGAUGAAUGGAAGCAAUAGUAAGGGACACAUCACCGCCCAUGAACAACACCCAUUUGCUAACAUGGCAGUGUGGUUUUCGGCAACGUCUAGUACUCCAAGUUCCAAGGGGUUUGAAUCAGGCUCAAAUUUGACAGCGUAACAUUUACUCCAGUUGGCAUCUGAUGCUCUGAAUCCUCCCCGCUUUGGAUUCUGGGACAACACAAAAGAUAUAGCCAGAACAUCAAAAGCUAGUCGCUUUUCUUAGAUGCCUAAGGAGCAAAGGAUCUUUGGAGCUAAAAGCUGCUCCUCAAGAUGAAGACUAAAAGAUCUUCGUCAAGCUAUUGU